AACGAACGCUGGCGGCAGGCUUAACACAUGCAAGUCGAGCGCCCCGCAAGGGGAGCGGCAGACGGGUGAGUAACGCGUGGGAAUCUACCGUGCCCUACGGAAUAGCUCCGGGAAACUGGAAUUAAUACCGUAUACGCCCUACGGGGGAAAGAUUUAUCGGGGUAUGAUGAGCCCGCGUUGGAUUAGCUAGUUGGUGGGGUAAAGGCCUACCAAGGCGACGAUCCAUAGCUGGGCUGAGAGGAUGAUCAGCCACAUUGGGACUGAGACACGGCCCAAACUCCUACGGGAGGCAGCAGUGGGGAAUAUUGGACAAUGGGCGCAAGCCUGAUCCAGCCAUGCCGCGUGAGUGAUGAAGGUCUUAGGAUUGUAAAGCUCUUUCACCGGUGAAGAUAAUGACGGUAAUCGGAGAAGAAGCCCCGGCUAACUUCGUGCCAGCCGCCGCAGUAA
rnacentral:rRNA from 1 species